GGGUCGUUAGCUCAGUUGGUAGAGCAGUUGACUUUUAAGCAAUUGGUCGCAGGUUCGAAUCCUGCACGACCCACCA
rnacentral:tRNA from 1 species